rnacentral:lncRNA from 1 species
GGGACUACACGAAACAUGACCAAAGAGAUUUCCUGUAUUUCAUGAGGUGACGUGUGGAUCUAAUCCAAAUACAUCUAGCUUUUUCUUCCCCUGUAACAUUUCCGCCACCACCAAAGAUCUUAAUGAACUGCGCAUUCAAUUACAUGAAGAAGGAAGCCAGGCAGUGGGGGUGAGGUCUGGCCACAAACACCGAGGCGAAAAAACUCCCAAGGCAAGAUUUAGGCACUUGCAGGAGGGACUGUCACUGGGGGGAAGAAGCCUGUGACUCGGGAAUGCUCAUGAACACAUCCAGCUUGUUGUCAACCCUGAUGAUUUUGGUAAAAUGGCUCCAAGAAAGAAGACUUCUUUCUGGAGAGAAAACAUCGAUUCUUACUCGGGCUUUAUAGAGGCAGCUCUCAGGCUGUGCGCGAAGGAAUAAAAAACACAAUCGACCCCAGCUCCUCGGUGGUUCUGGCCAAAUCCAUGAAAAACCAGCAGGGAAGACCUGGCUUUCUGUGGCACUGCGGCUGCCGGCGGGCAGCCCACAGCGGCUUCUCCAGCACCGUCCUCCAGCCAUUCCCAUCUUAGCCAAUUUUUCACUGUGUCCUUCGGUAUCAGCCUGCAAUUAGGAGGACAGCUUCUCGUUGCUUCCUGUAAUCAUUAA